UUCANUGGACGAAAGUCUGAUGCAGCAACGCCGCGUGGGGGAUGAAGCUUCUCGGAGUGUAAACCCCUUUCGACCCGGACGAAUGCCCGCAAGGGUUUGACGGUACGGGUAUAAGAAGCCCCGGCUAACUACGUGCCAGCAGCCGCGGUAAGACGUAGGGGGCCAGCGUUGCUCGGAAUUACUGGGCGUAAAGGGUCCGUAGGCGGUGCGGUAAGUCGGGAGUGAAAUCUCUGGGCUUAACUCAGAGGCUGCUUCCGAAACUACCGUGCUCGAGUGCGAGAGAGGCAAGUGGAAUUGCGGGUGUAGCGGUGAAAUGCGUAGAUAUCCGCAGGAACAUCCGAGGCGAAAGCGGCUUGCUGGAUCGCAACUGACGCUGAGGGACGAAAGCUAGGGGAGCAAACAGGAUUAGAUACCCUGGUAGUCCUAGCCCUAAACCAUCAGGACUUGGGGUUUGCCCUGUACGGGGCAAGUCCCGGAGCUAACGCGUUAAGUCCUGCGCCUGGGGAGUACGGUCGCAAGACUGAAACUCAAAGAAAUUGACGGA
rnacentral:rRNA from 1 species